GUGAGUCAUCGAAUCUUUGAACGCACCUUGCGCCCCUUGGUAUUCCGAGGGGCAUGCCUGUUUGAGUGUCAUUAAAUUCUCAACUCCGAUUUGAUUUGUUUCUUAUCGGAGCUUGGACUUUGGAGCGUGCUGGCGUAAGGUCGGCUCCUCUUAAAUGUAUCAGCGGAAUCUAACCUUUGGAUUCUGGACAUCGGUGUGAUAAUAAAAGUUGCGCCGUCGUUCUACUUCAAAGUCCGCUUACAAUGGUCUUUUGACAAACUCUUAUCAAAUUGACCUCAAAUCAGGUAGGACUACCCGCUGAACUUAAGCAUAUCAAUA
rnacentral:rRNA from 1 species